AUGUAAAUGAAGAAGCUAAGUUAGCCCUUCAUUUAAUUUAAAUUUCCCGCGUAUUUUAGUUUAGACUUUAUACGUCAGUAUAAUCUGUGGUGACAGCUUUUUUCCACUAUGUCAAAGACAAUGGUUUUGUUUCGUCUCGAGAUUUUAGAAUAAGCGCGAAAGAUAUUUGUGAAAAUUAUUUUUAAAAUAAGGAUACAAAGGAUUGUUUGAAGCAAUAGCUCUUAAUGUUGUUUCUUUUACAGAGCAACAACAUAAGUAUCUUGUUUCAUUAUCCAACCUAUUACA